AGUGAGUAAAUAAUAUAUGAACUGGCCGUCUAGCACGUUCGGAAGAGAGUAAAGGGAGCAGGUUUAUGGGCACGAUAGCAUAGAUUAAAGACAUAGUGUACAGACAAAGGUAAGGUAGGAUGUGAGUACAUUGGAGGUAAAUCUAGGCAUUGAGUAAUGAUGAGAGAGAUAUAGUCUCUAGAGACGUUUAAACCAGGUGAUGUCAUCGUAUAUGUAGGUGGAACAACAUGGUUGGUUAAGGCCUAUUGAGCAAGGCUAGAGGCUCUACAGUGAAAUAAGACCACAGUCACUAACCUGGACAGUAAUGGGCGAGGCAUAUUGAUAUUAGAGAGAGGCAUGCAUAGCCAAGUGAACAUAUGGGUCCAGUGAGUGGUUGGGCUGACUGGGAACAUGGCGAUUCAGACAGUUAGCAGGCCGAUGCUAACACGCUAACAGUUAGUAGGCCGGGGCUAAACAAGCUAGCAGUUAGCAGACCGGGUUAGCAAGCAAGCAGUUAGCAGGGGAUAGCAGUUAGUAGACCGGGGCUAGCAAGUUAGCCUUUGGGGGAUGUCGCGGUGGGGGUAAGUCUGUUUUUGCCGAUACACCAGUGAUCUGAGAUCACUUGAAAAGUUGAAAAUCUGCCACAGAAGAGGCAUCAAGCUAACCACACUGCCAAAGACCUUGUCGAAACUAAGAUGUUUGAAAGAACUGGACUUCUCAGACAACGUAGGGUAGCAGAUUCCUGAGAGCAUCGGAUUCCUGAGAACAAGCACAUCUUACAAAAGGCUUUCCGGUCUCUGGCCAAUAACUUACAGGGCGAUGACGUAAGAUACACACUGAGGAGUUUAAGUCCAAAGAGAAUAAACGGGCAUCCCAGAAGGAAAAAACCAUGCAGGCCCUGACUCUGUGGAUAGACUUAUUCCAUAGUGACCAGGAGGCAUCUGUCAUAGCUGACCAACUUGUGAGGACUCUGAUCUUGGCAGGCCUAUACGCACUCUACUCUCAGGUUCAGGCCAUCAAGAUAUAUGCCAAAGCCAGAAGACAAUGAAUACACUAUGCCAAAUGUGCUAUAUGAAUAGAGGCAUAGUUCAUGACAUUUUGAAGUUGGAAAGUGAGAGGAGUCAUUUGUUUUUCAUAAAUGUAACAUUUACCAAGUGAAUCCAUACCAAAGUAUUGAUUAUUGUUUGACCAUGAGAAUAAAUGCAAUUGGAUAUGCAUCAACAUUGUGUGAAAGUGGUUAUUGAUGGAUUACAAAAUCAAUUAUAAUCAUUCAAAAUCAUAACAGUAACCUACACAAACAUAGCCUACAUCUAGGCAUAUUGCUUUGUAACGUUCACUGGUCUAAAAAAAUCGAUUGAAUUUGACACCCUUUAGUGACUACAGUAGCUACAUCUAUACCUAUUCUACGCUGUAUGUAGUUCAACCAAUGUGAUUCUCCUAUUGGGGCAGUGACAUCAUAUAGCCAGACAUCAGUCCAGGUAGUGAUAGCCAACCAGAGUGCAGGAAGGCAGCUGCGGAGCGUGGAGUUUAUUUGACGGACACACAGCACCUAGCAAAUGAAAUGGCUUUAUUUGUUAGGCGGGGGCACGACUAACUUCACAUCUACAGGUGGAGAUGCCAAGGAAACAAUACAAUCUGUCACGUAAUUUCAUUUAGUGCUAUAAUGAGAAUGGAUGAAACUAUGCCUUUGGACUAAAGAGGGAUUUUACUGAGCACUGGGGAACACUAUUUUCUGCGAAUACUAAUAGCCUGGGGCCUUCUGGAAAACCGAAUUAGAUGUGGUAGAAGCGACACCACAACCGUGUAACAGAUUUGUUGCAAAUUCAAGGAGCCUGGCGCAGUAGCCUACAAUAUUUUACAACAUUUUUAAAGAAACAUAAGACGUAACAAUGGCUAUGCAUUUAUAUCAAGUUAGUAGUAUGCUAAUAGAAAAUACAGUCGGGAAAAUGAGUGACAACUUGACAUCAGUGGUCCUUGCAGUGUCUGUGAUCACCCUAACGUUGGGAUAUAUUUCUAAACUGGUGCUCAAACAGUCACAAUCUUCUUCAGAAGAACACAAGAAAUACCCACCAUACAUACCUUCUAGCAUUCCAUUUCUGGGUCAUGCCAUAGCAUUUGGGAAAAGUCCCAUUGAAUUUCUGGAGAAUGCAUAUGAAAAGUAUGGGCCCGUUGUCAGCUUUACCAUGGUGGGCAAAACCUUUACCUACCUUCUGGGUAGUGAGGCAGCCACACUGAUGUUCAACAGCAAGAACGAAGAUCUCAAUGCAGAGGAUGUCUAUUCUCGAUUGACCACGCCAGUUUUUGGAAAAGGGGUUGCCUACGAUGUACCUAACCAUAUCUUCCUGGAACAGAAGAAGAUGUUUAAGACAGGACUGAACAUCGCCCAUUUCAAACAGCACGUUGAAAUUAUAGAGGAGGAAACGAAGGAGUACUUUUCACGAUGGGGAGACAGUGGGGAACAAAGUAAGAUGACCGAGCCAUUACAAUUGGUCGGAGUUUCUACAGUAUUCCAUGUGGAAAGUAAUCCAGAGAGCAGUGAUCUCCCAUGCACAUACUCAGAUACUUAACGGGUUACUAAUGACCGCAUCCUUUUGCUUCACACUCUUGAUAGAAUCGGUUUGCAAUUUGUCGCUGUUUAUGAGUACGUCAUAACGCUUGUUUACACGCCAUAACAUUUGAGCCGUAGCGUAGUCAAAGUUAUCCAGUCAGCAAUUCUGACCUCUGUUCUCUCUCCCUCUCUGUCUCACUCAUUCACUAUUUCCAUCCAUCUCCAUCUUCUUAUCUCUUCCGCUCUCUCUCUUUCACACCUUCCUAACACCCCAUCUCUUCUACUCCUCCCUCAGACCUGUUUGAGGCCCUGUCGGAGCUGAUAAUCCUGACGGCCAGUGCCUGUCUGCAUGGGAAGGAGAUCCGCAGCAUGUUGGACGAGAAGGUGGCCCAGCUCUACGCAGACCUGGACGGGGGCUUCAGCCACGCUGCCUGGCUACUGCCCGGCUGGCUGCCCCUGCCCAGUUUCAGACGACGGGACAGAGCACACAGGGAGAUCAAGAACAUCUUCUACAAGGUCACCCAGAAACGCAGAAGCUCUGGAGAGAAAGUGGACGAUAUGCUGCAGACCCUCAUAGAUACCACCUACAAAGAUGGGCGGCCCCUAAAUGAUGAUGAGAUAGCGGGCAUGCUGAUUGGUCUACUCCUGGCCGGACAGCACACAUCUUCCACUACUAGUUCCUGGUUGGGCUUCUUCCUUGGCAAAGAUAAGGCCCUACAGGACCGCUGCUAUGCUGAACAGAAAACUGCAUGUGGAGAAGACUUGCCCCCACUCAACUUUGACCAAGUCAGAAUCCAUAACUGGCAUAUUACCAACUACACGUAAAUGGUCAUAAGACUACACUACAGCUUUGUUGUUGAAAAUAUUAAUUAUGUUCUUAUACUGCCUUACAAGUGUUGACUAUAUUCAAUCCAUUAUAUUAAAUAUAGGUACAUACAUCUUUCUGAAUUAUUUUGUUGAAACUUAUUUAGAUCCGUUUAUUGACCAUAUUCUAUUUAAACUGGGUAAUUUUAUAUUGUAUGUAAGCAACUUCAGUUUAGAACCUUUUUUCUAGACUGCUAAACCCACAAGUUCAGCUUUUCAUUUGGACAGUUUUUAUCAUUUAAAUAUUUGACAUGGUCUUUUACUUACCUGUUCUCUUGUUCAUACAUCAGCUGAAGGACCUGACUUUGUUGGAUCGCUGUUUGAAAGAGACCCUCCGACUCCGUCCACCCAUCAUGACCAUGAUGAGAAUGGCACGCUCUCCUCAGACUGUAGCAGGCUACACCAUCCCAGCUGGUCACCAGGUAUGUGUGUCCCCGACAGUCAACCACCGUCUGCAGGACACUUGGACAGAGAGGAUGGAGUUUAGGCCUGACCGCUACCUUAACGACAACCCUGCUGCAGGGGAGAAAUUUGCCUAUGUGCCCUUUGGUGCAGGCCGUCACCGCUGCAUCGGGGAGAACUUUGCCUACGUUCAGAUCAAGACCAUCUGGUCUACCAUGCUGCGCCUUUACGAGUUCAACCUGGUCGAUGGUUACUUCCCCACAAUCAACUACACAACCAUGAUCCACACCCCACACAACCCCGUCAUCAGAUACAAGAGGAGACAACACUAAGAGACACUGAGCGCAAAAACACAGCAGCGAAAAGAGCAAGGCUUUGUCCAAAAUGGUUUCCUAGUCUAUAUGGUACUACUUUUGGCCAUAGCCUCAUAGGGCUGGCUCUCACAAGGCUCUGGACAAAAGUAGUGCACUAUAUAGGAAAUAGGGAGCCAUUUCAGAUUUGCCCCAACAACCUCACCUUUAACAGUUUUAUUUAGAGAACAUUCUUGUACUUGAAUUUAGGAACUGUUCAAAUUAACGCAGAGUUCUGUCUGAAAAUCUAAUUCACUUUACUUUUUGUUGCCCCCACCUUAUGUUUGCUGUGUUUUUAAUUUGCUAGAAUGUAUUGUAAAUGUAUUGUAAGCCACAGGAGGCUGGUGAGGGGAGGACGGCUCAUAGUAAUGGCUGGAAUGGAUUAGUGUCAAACACAUGGAAACCACUUGUUUGAUGGGAUACCAUUCCACUUGUUCAGUUCCAGCCAUUACUAUGAGCCCGUCCUCUGAUUUAAAGGGACACCAGCCACCAUUGAUGUAAGCCUAAACUGAAUCAGUUAGUUUAUUCAUCAAAAGCUCAUCUUUUGUAGCCUGAUCCCAGAUAUAGUCCAACUACCAUAGGAUUUGGCUAUACAACACAAACCGAUCUGGAACCAGGCCUCAGCUUUUGGCCAUUCUAUUUCAAAAUGUCAUGGUAAUGCAUAUAGCUUUCAAGCUUCCACUGUCUGAAAUGUGAUAUGGAGUCCACUGUGUAGGAGUGAAAAUACUACUGUAAGAAUGAAUAUUACUGGAGUAAAAAAGCACCUAAGCACUGUCUUUUCUAGAGCUGUGAGAAAUAUUAAAACCACUGAUCCUUAUCCAUUGCUUCAUAGAGAUCAGUGAUCAAACCGACCAUCACUGACUUUGUAUGUACUGUCUAUUCAUAAUUGUACAAAGAUAGAGGACCUAGGCUGGGUAAAACAAAGACCAAGGACUUUAAACGGGGAGGGACAACCAGCACUUGCUUAACAAAAGACACAUUUUCUGUUGUGUGCCCUAAUAAACACGACUUGGCAUGUUGGGAGGUCAUAGUGAAGUUUGACCAAUGUAGUGCCUUGAUGAUGGAAAAUUAUUACUCCAUUUUAUUUAGAUUGAUUUUACUGUUUGAAGCCUAAUUUUGUGAACAUUUGUAAAUACAAAUUAUAUCUGAGAUGAUGCCAUGUGAAUUCCA